AAAUUGAAGAGUUUGAUCAUGGCUCAGAUUGAACGCUGGCGGCAGGCCUAACACAUGCAAGUCGAACGGUAGCACAGAGAGCUUGCUCUCGGGUGACGAGUGGCGGACGGGUGAGUAAUGUCUGGGAAACUGCCUGAUGGAGGGGGAUAACUACUGGAAACGGUGGCUAAUACCGCAUAACGUCGCAAGACCAAAGAGGGGGACCUUCGGGCCUCUUGCCAUCAGAUGUGCCCAGAUGGGAUUAGCUUGUUGGUGAGGUAACGGCUCACCAAGGCGACGAUCCCUAGCUGGUCUGAGAGGAUGACCAGCCACACUGGAACUGAGACACGGUCCAGACUCCUACGGGAGGCAGCAGUGGGGAAUAUUGCACAAUGGGCGCAAGCCUGAUGCAGCCAUGCCGCGUGUAUGAAGAAGGCCUUCGGGUUGUAAAGUACUUUCAGCGGGGAGGAAGGUGUUGUGGUUAAUAACCGCAGCAAUUGACGUUA
rnacentral:rRNA from 1 species